AAACUAAGAAGUCUAGGAGAGGAAGACAUUCAAAGUCUCUCUCUCCCCAGUCACUUGGGCCAGAUUUUCAAAGGCAUUCCCAGGCCAGCCAAUAAACAUCGACCCUCCAGCAUAACCUGGGUUUUCCUCUGGGUCUCCACCCUUUGGGAUAUGAGUGGAACACCUCACCAGGGAGACGUCAGGGAGGUAUCCUAACCAGGUUUAGUCCAUUUGAUAACUGAUGGAGGAACACUGUCAACACUGCAGGGUUGGGUGACGAGGGCAGCAGCCUAACUAAGAAGUCUAGGAGAGGGAAACAUUCAAAGUCUCUUUCUCCCCAGUCACUUGGGCCAGAUUUUCAAAGGCAUUCCCAGGCCAGCCAAUAAACAUCGACCCUCCAUCAUAACCUGGGUCUUCCUCUGGGUCUCCACCCUUUGGGAUAUGAGUGGAACACCUCACCAGGGAGACGUCAGGGAGGUAUCCUAACCAGGUUUAGUCCAUUUGAUAACUGAUGGAGGAACA